UUUCAGGUCCGCUUUACUGUCUGUCUCUGUACUAAGAUAACAGACGCUGAACGAAAUAUAAGCAAUAGAUAUAUAAAAUUCUUGCCAGAGUGAUGCUAGUGUGUGUUUGCCGCUCAUCUCGUCAUGUACGGAAUUCGGUUGCCCGAUGUUCUUGUCAAGUGUUCCGCAUUUGCAGCCAGGUUGUCAUGCCUUCCUCACUUACAUACCACCGUCACUUUAUACGCCAGAAUUAAACACCUAUAGUAUACUCUAGUCCCCGGUGCAAGGGUUUUCCUUGGAACAGUUACACGCCGCAUGCAAGCUUGCCUUUCCGGCUGAAUUUCAAUAUAAUAACCACAUAAACCUGGGGCAAAUAAACAGCGGAUGCUUUGGCUUGCAGCGGCUUGCGGGCUUGUUUUCUGGGAGACGAGGAGGAGGAGAGCAAACAAGGUGAGCAGGCGCGACCUUAAUCCUAAGGCGCAAUUCAGACCAGAAAAUAUUGCGAGUACGUUUGGAUUAUUACUUUCUCAAACGGGGUCGGUUCUCCGAUGCCUGAAAUUUAGAAUCAUGCUUUGCUUUGCCACGGACCUUGCAGGUUACAGCAGCAACAAGUGUCACAGCUCGAGGUGCAUUGAAGUACCUUUCAGCGUCUUGCUGUCCCGGUCACAUCGGGUCACAUCUGCCCAACGGUUCGGGGCGCACGCUUGUACAACUCAAGCAAGAACUCAGUGCUCUACCCUUGGAUAUCUCGUCUAUCAAUCCUGGAUAUGUCGCUAGCUUGUUACGCGAGGGGGAGAGGGCCCUUCCUCAUUUGUGCAAGCUUCUGCAG
rnacentral:lncRNA from 1 species